rnacentral:rRNA from 1 species
AUACGGAGGGUGCAAGCGUUACUCGGAAUCACUGGGCGUAAAGCGCGCGCAGGCGGGCUGAUAAGUUGGAUGUGAAAGCCUACGGCUCAACCGUAGAACUGCAUCCAAAACUGUCAGUCUAGAGUGUGGGAGAGGAAGAUGGAAUUAGUUGUGUAGGGGUAAAAUCCGUAGAGAUAACUAGGAAUACCAAAAGCGAAGGCAAUCUUCUGGAACACUACUGACGCUGAGGCGCGAAAGCGUGGGGAGCAAACAGGAUUAGAAACCCUGGUAGUCC